rnacentral:rRNA from 1 species
CCUACGGGAGGCAGCAGUAGGGAAUCUUUCACAAUGGGCGAAAGCCUGAUGGAGCAACGCCGCGUGCAGGAUGAAGGCCUUCGGGUUGUAAACUGCUUUUAUAAGCGAGAAAUAUGAUGGUAACUUAUGAAUAAGGAUCGGCUAACUACGUGCCAGCAGCCGCGGUCAUACGUAGGAUCUGAGCAUUAUCCGGAGUGACUGGGUGUAAAGAGUUGCGUAGGUGGCAUAAUAAGUAGCUAGUGAAAUCUGGUGGCUCAACCAUUCAGACUAUUAGCUAAACUGUUAAGCUCGAGACCGUUAGGGGUAACUGGAAUUUCUAGUGUAGGAGUGAAAUCCGUAGAUAUUAGAAGGAACACCAAUAGCGUAGGCAGGUUGCUGGGACGGUUCUGACACUAAGGCACGAAAGCGUAGGGAGCAAACGGGAUUAGAUACCCGUGUAGUC